GAUGCUGUGGGUGUUCAUGCUGCUGAUGUUGAUGAAGAAGGCUCCAUUGAUGAAGAAGGCUCCUUUGAUGAUGAAAGCUCCAUUGAUGAAGAAGGCUCCUUUAAUGCUACCGAGUCCAAAGAUGAUGAAUGAUGAGAAUUUAUGAAUUCAGUCAUUUAAGAUGCAUAUUGUACAUUAAUUUCCACAUUUUUGGUUCCCAUUGAUUGUUUAGUGAUCGAUUUGAUGAGAUUAUUGAUUGAAGAUGUGG
rnacentral:lncRNA from 1 species